CGCUGGCGGCGCGCCUAACACAUGCAAGUCGAGCGAGAACCAGGGCUUGCCCUGGGGACAGCGGCGAACGGGUGCGUAACACGUGAGCAACCUGCCCCAAAGACCGGGACAACCCGAGGAAACUCGGACUAAUACCGGAUGCCCUCACCGGGUCGCAUGGUCUGGUGAGGAAAUGGAUUCCGCUUUGGGAUGGGCUCGCGGUCUAUCAGCUUGUUGGUGGGGUAACGGCCUACCAAGGCAACGACGGAUAGCUGGUCUGAGAGGACGAUCAGCCACACUGGGACUGAGACACGGCCCAGACUCCUACGGGAGGCAGCAGUGGGGAAUCUUGCGCAAUGGGGGAAACCCUGACGCAGCGACGCCGCGUGCGGGAUGAAGGCCUUCGGGUUGUAAACCGCUUUCAGCAGGGACGAAAUUGACGGUACCUGCAGAAGAAGGCCCGGCCAACUACGUGCCAGCAGCCGCGGUAAUACGU
rnacentral:rRNA from 1 species